rnacentral:tRNA from 1 species
UCCCUGGUGGCUCAGAGGUUAAAGCAUCUGCUUGCAAUGCAGGAGACCUGGGUUCGAUCCCUGGGUCGGGAA